rnacentral:rRNA from 1 species
AUUGAACGCUGGCGGCAGGCCUAACACAUGCGAGUCGAGCGGAUGAAGGGAGCUUGCUCCUGGAUUCAGCGGCGGACGGGUGAGUAAUGCCUAGGAAUCUGCCUGGUAGUGGGGGAUAACGUCCGGAAACGGGCGCUAAUACCGCAUACGUCCUGAGGGAGAAAGUGGGGGAUCUUCGGACCUCACGCUAUCAGAUGAGCCUAGGUCGGAUUAGCUAGUUGGUGGGGUAAAGGCCUACCAAGGCGACGAUCCGUAACUGGUCUGAGAGGAUGAUCAGUCACACUGGAACUGAGACACGGUCCAGACUCCUACGGGAGGCAGCAGUGGGGAAUAUUGGACAAUGGGCGAAAGCCUGAUCCAGCCAUGCCGCGUGUGUGAAGAAGGUCUUCGGAUUGUAAAGCACUUUAAGUUGGGAGGAAGGGCAGUAAGUUAAUACCUUGCUGUUUUGACGUUACCAACAGAAUAAGCACCGGCUAACUACGUG